rnacentral:rRNA from 1 species
CACGUAGGGGCCAAGCGUUGUCCGGAUUCAUUGGGCGUAAAGAGCUUGUAGGCGGUUCAGUUAGUCGGGUGUGAAAUCUCCGGGCUCAACCCGGAGGGGCCACCCGAUACUGCUGUGACUCGAGUCCGGUAGGGGAGUGGGGAAUUCCUGGUGUAGCGGUGAAAUGCGCAGAUAUCAGGAGGAACACCGGUGGCGAAGGCGCCACUCUGGGCCGGUACUGACGCUGAGGAGCGAAAGCGUGGGUAGCAAACAGG